ACCUGGUGAUGUGGACAUUUGCAGAGUAGGUCCCUAAAGAGCUCCCAAGUCUUAAAAAAGAGUUCUCCAUCCAUCUAUGAAAAACUCGUUAUGGCUUUCCAAAGCU